ACGACAUGGGUGGUUUUGUUUACUUCGUCGAAACAUUUGCCGGAAAAGUAGUUCCUUAAAAGGAGCCAUUGCAGGGUCUUAUAUAGGACUGUUAUAGCUGAAUGGCUUUCUGAAUCCGAACACGUUUGGUUCAUCUAGCAAUUCGGAUGACAGAAUAUGAAAUACUGUACAUAUCAUAACGUUCGUCAGUUACGGUCAGUUCUACUCUUUUGUCAAGACAGUACUGAGCACCAGCGCUGAUUCAAUUCUUUUAAAUAAGACAUGGACUCCGACCGAAAUCGUAGAAGUGGAAAUCCUUUAUUACACCCCACGGAGUGACAGAGUGUAGUUAAAUCGUUAAAUAAAUUAAGACUUGAAUUUUGUACAGGACAUUUAUUUAUGCACGUGGUUGGCGUGCUGACCGCGCGUUUGUACUUCCGCCCGUUGGGUGUGCGAGGGGAGAGGAGACGCUGUGAGGCAAGGUUGCUCAGUAGCACAGAAGAUAAGAACCAUCAGUGCAUGGCUUGACGCGGAGCAGGAAAGUAGUGUAGGUGGCUGUUGUUUCUCUGAUACGUCGUGUUAAGUGCGGCUGUUGUUUCUUUAGUACGUAGUGUUAAGUGUGAAGUUCUGUUAUUUUAACAUUUGCAACAAGAAAACAUCAAGAUGACGGUGACUUAUACGGGCGAAGUAGCGACGUGCAGAGGAUUUGGGUGUUUCCUGAAAUUACUGCUUCGACACUUUUCCAACGGCUUCUGAGAAGGAUUGUUAUGAAUUAUGAACCGGGAAGACUGUGGUGCUGGUACAAUAGCAAUUUUUCUGGAGAGAUCCGUGAAAGUCACGGAAAAAUUCGUUCAGAAUUGCUGGCCCGCGGACUUUGAGUGGGUGACCGGGACUCUCGAAUUGGGGAAAGACGGAGGUUUUGCAGGGUUGAAGGUGCGUGUGCACUCAGACUUGCCGUUGGGAGGAAUGUGGCCCUAAACUUAACCGACUCAUUAACUUACACGAAUGAGGUAUUUGACUUAGCGAACUUCACGUCGAAGUGGUUAACGUCACACCAGAUGUUUCCU